AAAGUUUGAGGAGAAAAUGACUGUUUUAAAAUAAUUUUUUUAGAAUUUUAUUUUUAAGUAAAAAAGCUUAAAUAAUAUUAAAAGACGAGAAGACCCUAUAGAGUUUUAUAUUUUUAUAAUUUUAAUUAUUAAUGGUUUUAAAUAAAUUAUAAUUUAAAAAUAUUUUGUGGGGGUGAUAGAAAAAUUAAAUAAACUUUUUUUAUUUUUUUACAUNAUAAAUG
rnacentral:rRNA from 1 species